AAUGAACGUUGGCGGUGUGGAUUAGGCAUGCAAGUCGUGCGCGAAACGUAGCAAUACGUGGAGAGCGGCGAAAGGGAGAGUAAUACAUGGUUAGCUGCCCUCGGGACUGGAAUAGCGGCGGGAAACUGCCGGUAAUGCCAGAUAACGUCUUCGGACCAAACGUGUAAACCGGCCCGAGGAGGCGACCAUGGCCUAUCAGCUUGUUGGCGGGGUAACGGCCCACCAAGGCUAAGACGGGUAUGGGGCGUGAGAGCGUGCCCCCACUCACUGGGACUGAGAACUGCCCAGACACCUACGGGUGGCUGCAGUCGAGAAUCUUCGGCAAUGGGCGCAAGCCUGACCGAGCGACACCGCGCGCGGGAUGAAGGCCUUCGGGUUGUAAACCGCUGUCGUAGGGGAGGAAGGUCUGGUGUAUAGCCAGGCUUGACCGAUCCUAGGAGGAAGGGCCGGCUAAUCUCGUGCCAGCAGCCGCAGUAA
rnacentral:rRNA from 1 species